rnacentral:lncRNA from 1 species
CGUUAUUUCUUGACUAUGUUACAGUAAAAGAUUAUUAUUAUUAUUAUUAUCCUACAAACCUCGACCCACAUUGUCCAUCUUCACCAUCUCUCCCACAUCCUCGCCGUCACCAUGGUUUGGCGUACCCUCGCCAUCGACCUCCCCGAGUUCUCUUUCUUUCCGGGCGAGCCGUUGACCGCGAUCUGGUCGAGGGAAAGGAGACACCGGAGGAAGUUACAAAGUCAUUGUGGUGGCUCAAUUGAUGCGGCUGACGGCGGGCACCGGUGAGCGGCGGGGAGGUCGCCACCUCUCCUCACCUCCUCCCAGGUUCCCGGUCUAGAGCAGAGGGACGGAUGUCGGCGAGGCCACCCCCCUUCACACAAAGGUACUCAC